UGGGGAAUAUUGCACAAUGGAGGAAACUCUGAUGCAGCGACGCCGCGUGAAGGAAGAAGGUCUUCGGAUUGUAAACUUCUGUUGUCAGGGACGAUAAUGACGGUACCUGACGAGAAAGCCACGGCUAACUACGUGCCAGCAGCCGCGGUAAAACGUAGGUGGCAAGCGUUGUCCGGAAUUACUGGGUGUAAAGGGAGCGCAGGCGGAUUGGUAAGUUGGAGGUGAAAUUCAUGGGCUCAACCCAUGACCUGCCUUCAAAACUACCAGUCUUGAGUGGUGCAGAGGUAGGCGGAAUUCCCGGUGUAGCGGUGGAAUGCGUAGAUAUCGGGAGGAACACCAGUGGCGAAGGCGGCCUACUGGGCACUAACUGACGCUGAGGCUCGAAAGCAUGGGUAGCAAACA
rnacentral:rRNA from 1 species